rnacentral:rRNA from 1 species
UUCAUAAUUACUUAACGGAUUCCGCAUGGCCUUUGCGGCCGGCGAUGGUUCAUUCAAAUUUCUGCCCUAUCAACUUUCGAUGGUAGGAUAGUGGCCUACCAUGGUCUCAACGGGUAACGGGGAAUUAGGGUUCUAUUCCGGAGAGGGAGCCUGAGAAACGGCUACCACAUCCAAGGAAGGCAGCAGGCGCGCAAAUUACCCAAUCCCAAUUCGGGGAGGUAGUGACAAUAAAUACUGAUACAGGGCUCUUUUGGGUCUUGUAAUUGGAAUGAGUACAAUCUAAAUCCCUUAACGAGGAACAAUUGGAGGGCAAGUCUGGUGCCAGCAGCCGCGGUAAUUCCAGCUCCAAUAGCGUAUAUUAAAGUUGUUGCCGUUAAAAAGCUCGUAGUUGAACCUUGGGCCUGGCUGGUCUGUCCUCCUAAUCGAGCGCACGGAUUCGGUCGGGCCUUUCCUUCUGGGGAGCCCGAUGCCCUUCACUGGGUGUCGCGGGGAACCAGGACUUUUACCUUGAAAAAAUUAGAGUGUUCAAAGCAGGCCUUUGCUCGAAUACAUUAGCAUGGAAUAAUAGAAUAGGACAGAGGUUCUAUUUUGUUGGUUUCUAGGACCGCUGUAAUGAUUAAUAGGGAUAGUCGGGGGCGUCCGUAUUCAAUUGUCAGAGGUGAAAUUCUUGGAUUUAUUGAAGACGAACUACUGCGAAAGCAUUCGCCAAGGAUGUUUUCAUUAAUCAGUGAACGAAAGUUAGGGGAUCGAAGACGAUCAGAUACCGUCGUAGUCUUAACCAUAAACUAUGCCGACUAGGGAUCGGACGGUGGUUUUUUUAUGCCCCGUUCGGCACCUUACGA